rnacentral:rRNA from 1 species
AACGGGGAUUUCUCUUCGGAGCACCGGAGACAGGUGGUGCAUGGUUGUCGUCAGCUCGUGUCGUGAGAUGUUGGGUUAAGUCCCGCAACGAGGCGCAACCCUUAUCUUUAGUAGCCAGCGGUCAUGGGCGGGCACUCUGAGAAGAGACUGCCAGGGAUAACCUGGAGGAAGGUGGGGAUGACGUCAAAUCAUCAUGCCCCUUAUGACUUGGGCUACACACGUGCUACAAUGGCCGUAAACAAAGGGAAGCGAUCACGUGAGUGUGAGCAAAUCUCAAAAAUAACGUCCUCAGUUCGGAUUGUAGUCUGCAACUCGACUACAUGAAGCUGGAAUCGCUGAUAAUCGCGAAUC